rnacentral:misc_RNA from 1 species
CAAUAAUGCUGUUAUUAACUUUGGUUUUAGCUCUGAAGGUGGAAGUCCAGUGUUCUUAAAUUUGUCUAUAUGUGCAUCAUGCAUUCUUCACAGCUUCAUGAUGAGGAGGCUUGAUUUCAUUACUCUGUGAGUAGUGAGGACUGAUCUUCCCCUAUUUAUCAUUAGUAAGUAAAGAUUGCUCAACGAUUACAUCUAGAUGAGAAGAAG